rnacentral:rRNA from 1 species
UACGUAGGGUGCAAGCGUUAAUCGGAAUUACUGGGCGUAAAGCGUGCGCAGGCGGUUCUAUAAGACAGAUGUGAAAUCCCCGGGCUCAACCUGGGAACUGCAUUUGUGACUGUAGAGCUGGAGUGCGGCAGAGGGGGAUGGAAUUCCGCGUGUAGCAGUGAAAUGCGUAGAUAUGCGGAGGAACACCAAUGGCGAAGGCAAUCCCCUGGGCCUGCACUGACGCUCAUGCACGAAAGCGUGGGGAGCAAACAGG